ACUCAAAGGAAUUGACGGGGGCCCGCACAAGCGGCGGAGCAUGCGGCUUAAUUCGACGCAACGCGAAGAACCUUACCAAGGCUUGACAUACCGGGAAAUCCUCCAGAGAUGGGGGGUCCGUAAGGGUCCGGUACAGGUGGUGCAUGGUUGUCGUCAGCUCGUGUCGUGAGAUGUUGGGUUAAGUCCCGCAACGAGCGCAACCCUCGUUCUAUGUUGCCAGCGCGUGAUGGCGGGGACUCAUAGGAGACUGCCGGGGUCAACUCGGAGGAAGGUGGGGAUGACGUCAAAUCAUCAUGCCCCUUAUGUCUUGGGCUGCACGCAUGCUACAAUGGCCAGUACAAAGGGCUGCGAUACCGUGAGGUUGAGCGAAUCCCAAAAAGCUGGUCUCAGUUCGGAUUGGGGUCUGCAACUCGACCCCAUGAAGUCGGAGUCGCUAGUAAUCGCAGAUCAGCAACGCUGCGGUGAAUACGUUCCCGGGCCUUGCACACACCGCCCGU
rnacentral:rRNA from 1 species